CAACUGUGGUCAACCGCACUUGUCAACCGCCAUAAGCCAUGCUCCGCCUGUGCGUCGUCGUGAUGUCCGCUCUGCUGGCGCUGCUCUGCGCCGUGGCGGCCGUGGCGGCCGUGCCUCACGGCCAAGGUGGCCCUCCAGUCGUCGGCGCCGACCCUUGCACCUGGGGGCCGGCACACUGGUGCGCCAACCACCAGAACGCCCAGGCCUGCAAGAUGACGCCAUGGUGCCUGGAGAAGAGGCUGCUGCACUGAGCGACACCGAGCACGCCGAGGAACGGAAGCGGAGCGUUGGCCGUCAACCGGAUGCCACGAAAAACCAGUCUGCGUAAUAAAGACCGCUUUCCGCCAGUAUUGA